GCUGGGUGCAGUGGUGUAUACCUGAAGUCCCAGGUUGGGAGGCUGAGGCAGGAGGGUCACUUAAGCCAAGGAGUCUGGGGCCAACCUGGGAAACCUAGUGAGACUCUGUCUCGC
rnacentral:sRNA from 1 species